rnacentral:rRNA from 1 species
CCGAUAGGCGUAGGCGAUGGACAACGGGUUGAUAUUCCCGUACCCGUGUAUCCGCGCCCAAUGCUGAAUCAGUUGUGCUAAGUAUCCAAAUGUUGUCUUACCGAGCCUUCGGGCGAGGGGGAUGACGGCUGCAUACGACCCUGGCUGUAGUAGGUAAGCGAUGGGGUGACGCAGGAAGGUAGCUGGGCCAGGUGAUGGAAUACCUGGUGUAAGCGUGUAGGGCGCAACAUAGGCAAAUCCGUGUUGCACAUAGCCUGAGACGUGAUGCGUACCCGUUGAGGGGAAUUCAGUGAUCCUAUGCUGCCGAGAAAAGCCUCUAGCGAGCUGGUACACGGCCCGUACCCCAAACCGACACAGG